rnacentral:rRNA from 1 species
UGAAAUCUGGCCCUCGGGUCCGAGUUGUAAUUUGUAGAGGAUGCUUUUGGUGCGGUGCCUUCCGAGUUCCCUGGAACGGGACGCCAUAGAGGGUGAGAGCCCCGUCUGGUUGGAUGCCAAUCCUCUGUAAAGCUCCUUCGACGAGUCGAGUAGUUUGGGAAUGCUGCUCUAAAUGGGAGGUAUAUGUCUUCUAAAGCUAAAUACCGGCCAGAGACCGAUAGCGCACAAGUAGAGUGAUCGAAAGAUGAAAAGCACUUUGAAAAGAGAGUUAAAAAGUACGUGAAAUUGUUGAAAGGGAAGCGUUUAUGACCAGACUUGGGCUUGGUUAAUCAUCCAGGGUUCUCCCUGGUGCACUUUUCCAGUCCAGGCCAGCAUCAGUUUGCUUCGGGGGAUAAAGGCUUCGGGAAUGUGGCUCCUCUCGGGGAGUGUUAUAGCCCGUUGCGUAAUACCCUGGGGCGGACUGAGGUACGCGCUUCUGCAAGGAU